rnacentral:rRNA from 1 species
GCUUACUGCCAUAUCACCCUGAACACGUCCAAUCUUGUCUAAUCUCGGAAGCUAAGCAGGGUCAGGUCUGAUUAGUACUUGGCUGAGAGACCCCUCUGGGAAUACCAGCUGCUGUACAUU